rnacentral:rRNA from 1 species
AAGUCGUAACAAGGUUUCCGUAGGUGGACCUGCGGAAGGAUCAUUAGUGAUUGCCCUAGUGGCUUUAAACUAUAUCCACAUACACCUGUGCACUGUCUGAUUGACCCUCACGGGUUAAUUUUACAAACAUUGUGUAAUGAACGUAUUAUUAUUAUAACAAAUAAAACUUUCAACAACGGAUCUCUUGGCUCUCGCAUCGAUGAAGAACGCAGCGAAAUGCGAUAAGUAAUGUGAAUUGCAGAAUUCAGUGAAUCAUCGAAUCUUUGAACGCAACUUGCGCUCUCUGGUAUUCCGGAGAGCAUGCCUGCUUGAGUGUCAUGAAAUCUCAACCAUUAGGGUUUCUUAAUGGCUUGGAUUUGGGUGUUGCCAGCUUGUCUGGCUCACCUUAAAGGAGUUAGCGAGUGUAACAUUGUCGUCUGGCGUAAUAAGUUUCGCUGGUUAGACUUGUGAAGUUUGCUUCUAAUCGCCUUUUUGGCAAUUAUUCUGACUCUGGCCUCAAAUCAGGUAGGACUACCCGCUGAACUUAA